UCAACUAGUUUGCAAAGUGUUGCUGAGAAGAAUCAAGAAUUAGAACCGAAAAGACAUGACUUUUGUCUGACAUCUCUCUGUGCACACACACACACACAAACAAAUACCAUGAGAGUGUGCGCUCGAAUAUGCUCUAGAACCGCUCUUGCGAUACUUUAAUGUCAUACACCUAUCGGUCCGCGCAGCGCCGCUUUCACACCACGUGACUAAAAUACCUUACAGCCCUUGAGCGGGACAGCAAUAAAAAAAAAUGGUCAGAAAACACAACAAUCUUAUUAUUCAGAUCAUUUUAAUUUUUAUUGUUAACACAGUUGAUAAAAGUCGGCUAACAAAUGUAUGUUGUGUCAAAAAGGAGGCCCACUGUCUUUGAUUCUGAAAACCCCUGACAUAAGGACCCUUUUGAAUAUUAUUCCCUACCCAAGACGUACAAAAUCCUUAAAUUAAAUAAGCCUAAAGAUAGAUCUAAAUAAAAUAUAAUCUGUUAAAACACUAAGACAUUACAGUCUGAACAUCAUGACUUUCUAUUAUUCAACUAAUGCAGAAUUUAAGUUAAAAUACAGACAUGACUUAGGUGAACAAUGGGUCAGAACAGACUCCAUCAUUUGGCUGUUCUGUCAAUAGAAAAAGGAGUUCUCAGCUCCAUAAAUACUAGUAUGGUAAUUGACCAUCAAGUCUCAGAGAUACACUCUGAUGACUCCACCCUCAAAGAAAUAGGAUCAAAAAGUCACCAAGAUAAAAACUGUUAUAGAAUAUGGCAUGCAGUUGCUUCAAACAAUGGUAUAAAGCUAUUCAAAACACCAUUUAAUGUAAAUUAUGAUAAUCGUAAUUAAGAAUCACAAUUACAAUUUCAAGGGAAUAAUCGACAAUUAUGAUUUUUGUCAUAAUCAUGCAGCCCUAGUUGUAGAUCUUGAGUUUCAUCUAAUUGUCAUUUGCUGGGAUUCCGUUAUUAUACUAGCUAUGAGGAGAGAUUCACUGGCAUUCAGGUAAGGGAUUAUUCAUUGUGGCAUUGUAAAAUUUUGUUAAUUGCAGUGACUAAUUGUGUUUGUGUGUGAAGUUUGUUGAGCCAAACAUUCAGCUGCUGCUCAAUGAACAACACCAAGACCCUUUACCUGUGUCCCAGCUGAAGGUAUUCUACAGUGCAGCAGCUGAGGGAUUCCCUUAUCAAACCACCAUAGAGGACUGUUUCUCUGGCAUACGGCUGAAUCUGGGAGGGUUACUGAAUUCAUCUCCUGUAACCGAGUGGAGACGUCUUUCAUCGUGCCACAUUAUUACGUGCAAACCAUUACAACGGUAACCUGUACUUACCUGUAUGUGGCUGCAGAUGGACAAUGUACACCUCCACUUGGGAGUGGGAUCAGGACGACUCUGAGGAGAGUGAUCAGUGCCUUAACCCAGAGGAGAUGGAGGUGUCCUUUAUUUGCUGACUGACAUCGGCCUGAAGGUGCCUGCUGUCCGCGAGGCGUUCGCUGUGAGUUAAACCUUUAUUCAGCUGCUGUUAUUGCACAGGAUGCAGUUGGUGUGCAGUUGGCCUACGAGGCCCUGAUUCGAUUCCUGAGGACGCCUUCCAAUCAGGAAUCGAUUAAAGCAGAGCUCUCUGGGUCCACCACUACAACUUCCUGGAUGUUUUUUAUGAACUGAUUCUCUUCAGCUGCUUUAAGAAUGGCUGAACACCUCAUCCAGUAAGUGUCUUAUCAGGAGAUUUUGCUUGAAUUAAGAACAUUGAAUUAAGAAUUUCAGAACAUGGUCUAUUUUAUCUCAUUUUGUUUUCCCAUAUUUGUAACCCUGAUUAGACAUUAGGGAUGCAACAAUACAGUUAACCCACGGUUCAAUACGUACCGCGGUUUUUAACCACGGUUUUCUUUUCGGUUCGGUUCGGAUGGCUUGGCAAAUUAAAGGGUUUUUUUUUGUUUUUUUUUUCCCCCCAUUAUUCUUUGCUUAGGUGACAGGAACAGUAAGUAUGUUAAGAAGAACAAAACUGGUUUUAGUUGCAAUUCUCUUUAUUUUACUUAAAUGCAAAAAUCAACUUGUACACAUUCAUAGUGUACUGAAAAUAGUGAGAGAUAAAAAUUAGCGCUUGUAUGACUUUAUUACAGGAGACGGGGUUGGACGGCGCUCUUUUUUCCCAAUCCGCUCUGUAAUGAACAGUAAGGGUGAGGUAACUCUGUUACCCACGAGGUCCAACUAUCUGUUAUUAGAGCAAGGCUUUGCGCAUUAGACGAUUCGGCUUCGAUUUUUUGCAUGUUUUUUCGUAGAGGUCGAGGUAAUCUGUGUAAUACUCUGUAAUCUGUGCAGAUUGGUUAGUUGGCAUGUAAUGCUAAGGAGGAGUCUUCAUCUUACAGUGCAGUCCAAACCCUGAGUAAAUAAAACCAGGGGCAAUAAUCACUUGUGUAUUAUGGAGAAAAUCUUACUCAGAUCAUAAAGAGGAAAUGUU